UUUACACUGUAUUUAACAGUUUUCAUUCAGUAGUUGUUAGCAACUUUAGCCUCAUAGCUCAGAGCCUACCAGCUUUACAAAACCCCCCUAUGGUGUGUGUAUGUAUGUGUGUAUGUUUGUGUGUGUGUGUGUGUGUGCAUUCAUUACAGUGAAGGAGUGUGAUUGCUGUAGACGGAUGCUGAUGGGGUGUCUGUGAUAAACCCUGUGUUGUGGAUAGAGUUACCUGCAGUUUGCUGCUCGCGCCGCCUGCACGUGUUUGGUGUGCUCCGGCUCAGGCCCUGUCUCUCUAUCCAGGCACCAGCCUGCCCUGAGGAUGGAGUGCUCUGAAGAGGCUUGCAGAGGAGAGAGAACUUCAAUUUUCGAGUCGCUACGAGCAAUUUAUGCAGGGGGCACUUCUGGGGCGCACUGCCAUGCUGCUCACGCAGGCACAGGGAAUGCUACACAUUGUUAACAUGGUGGUAAAACGAAAAGCAAGAUGGUUAAAGAUGUUUCCCACAUGCUAGGGUAAUAUGCGUGAUACAGGCCCCAGUUUUGACUAAAAACAAGCUCUGACAGUGG
rnacentral:lncRNA from 1 species